CUGCAGCCCGAGUGGUGAUCGAUUUUAUUGAGCCCAAAGCGUCCGUAGCCGGACUAGUAAACCCUUGGGUAAAUUGGGCAGCUUAACUGUCCAAAUUCCGAGGGGACUGCUAGUCUUGGGACCGGGAGAGGUCAGAGGUACUCAAGGGGUAGGGGCUAAAUCCUGUAAUCCUUUGGGGACCACCAGUGGCGAAGGCGUCUGACUAGAACGGAUCCGACGGUAAGGGACGAAACCCUGGGGCGCGAACUGGAUUAGAUACCCGAGUAGUCC
rnacentral:rRNA from 1 species